rnacentral:rRNA from 1 species
GACGAACGCUGGCGGCGUGCUUAACACAUGCAAGUCGAACGAUGAAGCUAGAGCUUGCUCUGGUGGAUUAGUGGCGAACGGGUGAGUAACACGUGAGUAACCUGCCCCGAACUCUGGGAUAACUGCUGGAAACGGUAGCUAAUACCGGAUAUGACCAAUGAAGGCAUCUUCUGUUGGUGGAAAGAAUUUCGGUUCGGGAUGGACUCGCGGCCUAUCAGCUUGUUGGUGAGGUAACGGCUCACCAAGGCGACGACGGGUAGCCGGCCUGAGAGGGUGAUCGGCCACACUGGGACUGAGACACGGCCCAGACUCCUACGGGAGGCAGCAGUGGGGAAUAUUGCACAAUGGGCGCAAGCCUGAUGCAGCAACGCCGCGUGAGGGACGACGGCCUUCGGGUUGUAAACCUCUUAGUAGGGAAGAAGCGAAAGUGACGGUACCUGCAGAAAAAGCACCGGCUAACUACGUGCCAGCCGCCGCGGUAA